AGGAUUCCCCUAGUAACUGCGAGUGAAGCGGGAAAAGCUCAAAUUUAAAAUCUGGCAGUCUCUGGCUGUCCGAGUUGUAAUCUAGAGAAGUAAUGCCCGUGCUGGACCGUGUAUAAGUCUCCUGGGAUGGGGCGUCAUAGAGGGUGAGAAUCCCGUCUUUGACACGGACUACCAGUGCAUUGUGGUAUGCUCUCAAAGAGUCGAGUUGUUUGGGAAUGCAGCUCAAAAUGGGUGGUAAAUUCCAUCUAAAGCUAAAUAUUGGCGAGAGACCGAUAGCGAACAAGUACCGUGAGGGAAAGAUGAAAAGAACUUUGGAAAGAGAGUUAAACAGUACGUGAAAUUGCUGAAAGGGAAACGCUUGAAGUCAGUCGCGUUGGCCGGGAAUCAGCCUUGCUUUUGCAUGGUGUACUUUCUGGUUGACGGGUCAGCAUCAAUUUUGACUGCUGGAAAAAGGCCUGGGGAAUGUGGCAGCUUCGGCUGUGUUAUAGCCCCUAGUCACAUACAGUAGUUGGGAUUGAGGAACUCAGCACGCCGCAAGGCCGGGUUUCGACCACGUUCGUGCUUAGGAUGCUGGCAUAAUGGCUUUAAGCGACCCGUCUUGAAACACGGACCAAGGAGUCUAACAUGCCUGCGAGUAUUUGGGUGGAAAACUCAAGUGCGUAAUGAAAGUGAAAGUUGAGAUCCCUGUCGUGGGGAGCAUCGACGCCCGGACCAGAACUUUUGGGACGGAUCCGCGGUGGAGCAUGUAUGUUGGGACCCGAAAGAUGGUGAACUAUGCCUGAAUAGGGUGAAGCCAGAGGAAACUCUGGUGGAGGCUCGUAGCGAUUCUGACGUGCAAAUCGAUCGUCAAAUUUGGGUAUAGGGGCGAAA
rnacentral:rRNA from 1 species